AGAGCGAACGCUGGCGGCAGGCCUAACACAUGCAAGUCGAGCGCCCGUAGCAAUACGGGAGCGGCAGACGGGAUAGUAACACGUGGGAACGCGCCCUUCGGUUCGGAAUAACUCAGGGAAACUUGAGCUAAUACCGGAUACGCCCUUACGGGGAAAGAUUUAUUGCCGAAGGAACGGCCCGCGUCCGAUUAGCUAGUUGGUGAGGUAAUGGCUCACCAAGGCUCCGAUCGGUAGCUGGUCUGAGAGGAUGACCAGCAUCACUGGGACUGAGACACGGCCCAGACUCCUACGGGAGGCAGCAGUGGGGAAUAUUGGACAAUGGGCGCAAGCCUGAUCCAGCCAUGCCGCGUGGAUGAUGAAGGCCUUAGGGUUGUAAAGUCCUUUCGACGGGAAGAUAAUGACGGUACCGUAGAAGAGCCCGGCUAACUCGCGCCAGCAGCCGC
rnacentral:rRNA from 1 species